rnacentral:rRNA from 1 species
AUGAGUUUUAUUGAAAUUUAAGUAUUCAGUUUCACCAAUAAGAUACAGAGACUUGCUUCACAUUUGGAAUUACACAAAAAAUCAUCGGAAAGAGGUCUACAAAGACUUUUGGGAAAAUGCCGAAGUUUGAUGGCUUAUUUGGCAAAGAAAAUAGAGUACAUUAUAAGAAAUUAA